ACAACGGCCCUUUUCAGGGCCACCCUCAUUUUCCAAGUAAAGCUA
rfam:Lingula anatina scaffold213, whole genome shotgun sequence.